rnacentral:rRNA from 1 species
CAGCCGCCGCGGUAAUACGUAGGGUGCGAGCGUUGUCCGGAAUUACUGGGCGUAAAGAGCUCGUAGGCGGUUUGUCGCGUCGUCUGUGAAAUUCUGCAACUCAAUUGUAGGCGUGCAGGCGAUACGGGCAGACUUGAGUACUACAGGGGAGACUGGAAUUCCUGGUGUAGCGGUGAAAUGCGCAGAUAUCAGGAGGAACACCGGUGGCGAAGGCGGGUCUCUGGGUAGUAACUGACGCUGAGGAGCGAAAGCGUGGGUAGCGAACAGGAUUAGAUACCCUGGUAGUCCACGCCGUAAACGGUGGGUACUAGGUGUGGGUUCCUUUUCACGGGAUCCGUGCCGUAGCUAACGCAUUAAGUACCCCGCCUGGGGAGUACGGCCGCAAGGCUAAAACUCAAAGGAAUUGACGGGGGCCCGCACAAGCGGCGGAGCAUGUGGAUUAAUUCGAUGCAACGCGAAGAACCUUACCUGGGUUUGACAUACACCAGACGCCGGCAGAGAUGUCGGUUCCCUUGUGGUUGGUGUACAGGUGGUGCAUGGCC